rnacentral:lncRNA from 1 species
CCAAAUACGUUACAGAGAGCGUAAACCGAGUCAGCCGCGAAAGAUAUCACUCCUACGACAGCGACGACGAUUCGGUGGAAGAAGAGUUUCAAGAUAGGGAACUAGUGGAUCAUCCAAUCUGGCUAAUCAGAACAACAGGUCUGCAACAAUCGAUCAUAAACUCGAUUACGAUCUGUAGUUACAAGAGAGGAGAUGGGUUGAUCGAGAGAACAGAUUGUCCUGUUUGUUUAAGCGAGUUUGAAGAAGACGAGAGUCUUAGGUUAUUACCUAAAUGUAACCACGCUUUUCACAUCUCUUGCAUUGACACUUGGCUUAGGUCUCACACCAAUUGUCC